ACUCCUACGGGAGGCAGCAGUGGGGAAUAUUGCACAAUGGGCGCAAGCCUGAUGCAGCCAUGCCGCGUGUAUGAAGAAGGCCUCGGUUGUAAGUACUUUCAGCAGUGAGGAAGGUGGUGGCAGUUAAUAGCUGUAUCAUUUUGACGUUUAGCUGCAGAAGAAGCACCGGCUAACUCCGUGCCAGCAGCCGCGGUAAUACGGAGGGUGCGAGCGUUAAUCGGAAUUACUGGCGUAAAGCGCAUGCAGGUGGUUGUUAAGUCAGAUGUGAAGCCCGGGGCUCAACCUCGGAAUUGCAUUUGAAACUGGCAGACUAGAGUACUGUAGAGGGGUAGAAUUUCAGGUGUAGCGGUGAAAUGCGUAGAGAUCUGAAGGAAUA
rnacentral:rRNA from 1 species